GAUGAACGCUGGCGGCGUGCCUAAUACAUGCAAGUCGAGCGAACGGACGAGAAGCUUGCUUCUCUGAUGUUAGCGGCGGACGGGUGAGUAACACGUGGAUAACCUACCUAUAAGACUGGGAUAACUUCGGGAAACCGGAGCUAAUACCGGAUAAUAUUUUGAACCGCAUGGUUCAAAAGUGAAAGACGGUCUUGCUGUCACUUAUAGAUGGAUCCGCGCUGCAUUAGCUAGUUGGUAAGGUAACGGCUUACCAAGGCAACGAUGCAUAGCCGACCUGAGAGGGGGAUCGGCCACCCUGGAACUGAGCCCCGGCCCAGCCUCCUGCGGGGGGAGGCAGUAGGCAUUCUUCCGCAAGGGGCGAAAGCCUGCCGGACCACCCCCGGGGGAGUGAUGAAGUUUUUCGUAUCGUAAAACUCUUUUAUUGGGGAAAACAAUAUGUGAAAGUAACUGUGCACAUCUUGACGGUCCCUAAUCAGAAACCCCCGGCUACCUACGCC
rnacentral:rRNA from 1 species